UACGGAGGGCGCGAGCGUUGUCCGGAAUCACUGGGCGUAAAGGGCGCGUAGGCGGCCGGGGAAGUCGGUGGUGAAAGCCCGGGGCUCAACCCCGGGUCGGCCAGUGAUACUCCCCGGCUGGAGCACUGUAGGGGCGGGCGGAAUUCCGGGUGUAGCGGUGGAAUGCGUAGAGAUCCGGAAGAACACCGGUGGCGAAGGCGGCCCGCUGGGCAGUGGCUGACGCUGAGGCGCGACAGCGUGGGGAGCAAACAGGAUUAGAUACCCUAGUAGUCC
rnacentral:rRNA from 1 species